rnacentral:rRNA from 1 species
UACGUAGGUGGCAAGCGUUGUCCGGAUUUACUGGGCGUAAAGAGCGCGCAGGCGGUCAAGUAAGUCGAGUGUGAAAGCCCCCCGGCUCAACUGGGGAGGGUCAUUCGAUACUGAUCGACUCGAAGGCAGGAGAGGGUAGUGGAAUUCCCGGUGUAGUGGUGAAAUGCGUAGAUAUCGGGAGGAACACCAGUGGCGAAGGCGACUACCUGGCCUGUUCUUGACGCUGAGGCGCGAAAGCUAGGGGAGCAAACGGGG